UACGUAGGGUGCGAGCGUUGUCCGGAAUUAUUGGGCGUAAAGAGCUCGUAGGCGGUCUGUCGCGUCGAUCGUGAAAACUUGGGGCUUAACCCUGAGCUUGCGGUCGAUACGGGCAUGACUGGAGUUCGGCAGGGGAGACUGGAAUUCCUGGUGUAGCGGUGAAAUGCGCAGAUAUCAGGAGGAACACCGGUGGCGAAGGCGGCUCUCUGGGCCUUACCUGACGCUGAGGAGCGAAAGCUGGGGGAGCGAACAGG
rnacentral:rRNA from 1 species